rnacentral:lncRNA from 1 species
CCCUUCCCUUCCCUUCCCUUCCCUUCCCUUUUCCCUUUCUUUCAAGUGAUCUGCAGGCUCCCGGUAGCACACUUUCUCCAGCCAGCAUGCCCAGGACUGGCUUGGCACCUCUGCACAGCACCUGCUGGAUUGCACAGCAGUAUCCAGACUAGCAUAGAGCCCCACUAUUAUGCACAAUGUAGUUUGCAAAUGAGUGAUCCCCUAGAAUACACAGAAAUAGCAAAAAUUCAUAUCUGACGAAGAGAUCUCUUAACUACUCUCCAGUAUUAUCCCAUUUACAGAAAUUGCUGCUCCUUCAUAAAAUCAGUACUGAGAAUACUUCCUCUGAGAAAAACAUUUCCAUCCUUAUACUGCCCAGGGGAGGAAUUAAAGAGAGAAGUAUAUACAUCACAACAGGAUGCACUCCAGUGUGUUAUUCCUAUUUUGGAAAAGACUGCUAUGCAAAUGUCCUGCACAGCACGGGUAUGUACAGCCAUGGAUGCCACUGCAUGAAACCUGUCCUUUGCAUGCAUCUCCUGGGCCAGCAGAAUGUGGGCGGCGUGUGUUGGAGCUGUGGUCACAAGGGUGGAGCUGGUGCUUCCCAAGGGCCUUCUUCUCCUGUGGAGGUUGGCAGCAGCUCCAUCCCUAAGUCCUGUUGGCAUGACCUCCCUUCACAGCUCGCUUGCUGAUAGGUCACCCUAGACCCAGUGAGGAGACUCCAUCCAUCAAAGCCUCCCAGGUGUGAAGAUCAUUGACUGUGAGCUGAAAACUGAAGAAAGGAUUCAACUGGUAACCUUUGCAUGAGUAGAUACUUGGUUUGUCAUCAUGCUGUGGGUUGCACUGUUGGAAGCAGCUGGACAUCACAGAGCUUGACAAACGGCAGAUCUGGUGGAAAAAGCUGGUACUUUGAUUUGUCAAAAAGAUGCAAGAUGUAAAAUAUUUUUACCGGAAAUCCUGACAGAAAAAAAAUCUGUAUUCCAACUGUGAUUUUGAAGAUACGUAAUUACAGAAACAGAUCCCUACUUUACUUGGAGUGAAUCAGAAAAUCACUUUACAAAGGAGACAUAGCUUUUCUAGACUUUCUUAGUUCUAAAGAACAAAGAGUUGGGUUUCACAGGACUUUCCUGAAAGGUUGCAAACAACAUAGUUGCAAUGAAUUACUGUGAAGUCAAAACUGUUGAACUGCCCACACGCCUGCCUCAGGCCCUGUAGUUUGCUUCACUUGUUCAUGCUGUUGAAUAAAGACUGCUACUUGCAAAGUAUACUAUUAUUA